rnacentral:miRNA from 1 species
CAAUUGUGCUAAAGGUGAUUGUU